UACGGAGGGUGCGAGCGUUGUCCGGAAUCACUGGGCGUAAAGGGCGCGUAGGCGGUCUGCUAAGCGUGCGGUGAAAGCCUGGGGCUCAACCCCAGGUCUGCCGUGCGAACUGGUGGACUAGAGCACUGUAGAGGCAGGUGGAAUUUCGGGUGUAGCGGUGGAAUGCGUAGAGAUCCGAAAGAACACCGGUGGCGAAGGCGGCCUGCUGGGCAGUUGCUGGACGCUGAGGCGCGACAGCGUGGGGAGCAAACAGGAUUAGAGUACCCGAAGUAGU
rnacentral:rRNA from 1 species